rnacentral:rRNA from 1 species
GCCCUGACCCGCAAGGGAGGAGCGGCCAAGGUAUGACUACAUGAUUGGGGUG